GUGCUCACUAAGGCUCGGUCCUCUCCAAGUGGUCCGGACCUGCCCUCCAUGAGCAAGAGAAACAGGACUGGCUUGGGAGUGUCCUGCUCGAGUGGACAUGGGACACUACAGUUUUCAGUACAACA
rnacentral:snoRNA from 1 species